UACGUAGGGGGGCAAGCGUUGUCCGGAUUUAUUGGGCGUAAAGAGCGUGUAGGCGGCCGUACAGGUCAGCUGUGAAAACUCGAGGCUCAACCUCGAGACGUCGGUUGAAACCGUACGGCUAGAGUCCGGAAGAGGAGAGUGGAAUUCCCGGUGUAGCGGUGAAAUGCGCAGAUAUCGGGAAGAACACCCGUGGCGAAGGCGGCUCUCUGGGACGGUACUGGACGCUGAGACGCGAAAAGCGUGGGGAGCGAACAGG
rnacentral:rRNA from 1 species